rnacentral:rRNA from 1 species
UUGCGGGUUCGUCUUUCCGGGAGGAAGUGAGACAGGUGGUGCAUGGUUGUCGUCAGCUCGUGUCGUGAGAUGUUGGUAGUCCCGCAACGAGCGCAACCCUCGUCCUUAGUUGCCAUCAUUAAGUUGGGCACUUUAAGGAAACUGCCGGUGAUAAGCCGGAGGAAGGUGGGGAUGACGUCAAGUCCUCAUGGCCCUUACAGGCUGGGCUACACACGUGCUACAAUGGCAUCUACAGUGGGCAGCUAUCCCGCAAGGGCGCGCUAAUCUCCAAAAGAUGUCUCAGUUCGGAUUGUCCUCUGCAACUCGAGGGCAUGAAGGCGGAAUCGCUAGUAAUCGCGGAUCAGCAUGCCGCGGUGAAUACGUUCCCAGGCCUU